GCAGUAAUAAAUCCUACUGCUGGGAUUGGAACCCCAGAUAACUAUAGAGAGGCACAGACGCACUCGCGUCUUUUUU
rnacentral:sRNA from 1 species